rnacentral:rRNA from 1 species
AGAUUGAACGCUAGCGGGAUGCUUUACACAUGCAAGUCGAACGGCAGCGCGGACUUCGGUCUGGCGGCGAGUGGCGAACGGGUGAGUAAUAUAUCGGAACGUGCCCAGUAGCGGGGGAUAACUACGCGAAAGCGUGGCUAAUACCGCAUACGCCCUACGGGGGAAAGGGGGGGAUUCUUCGGAACCUCUCACUAUUGGAGCGGCCGAUAUCAGAUUAGCUAGUUGGUGAGGUAAAGGCUCACCAAGGCGACGAUCUGUAGCUGGUUUGAGAGGACGACCAGCCACACUGGGACUGAGACACGGCCCAGACUCCUACGGGAGCAGCAGUGGGGAAUUUGGACAAUGGGGGAAACCCUGGAUCCAGCCAUCCCGCGUGUGCGAUGAAGGCCUUCGGGUUGUAAGCACUUUGGCUAGGAAGAACGGCGUGCCUAAGUACGGACGUCACUGACGGUACCUGCAGAAUAAGCACCGGACUAACUACGUGCCAGCAGCCGCGGUAAUCGUGA